GCGGUUUAAUUGGAUUCAACGCCGGAAAUCUUACCGGGACCGACAGCAAUAUGAAGGCCAGGCUGAAGACUUUGCCGGAUUAGCUGAGAGGUGGUGCAUGGCCGUCGUCAGUUUGUACUGUGAAGCAUCCUGUUAAGUCAGGCAACGAGCGAGACCCACGCCAACAGUUGCCAGCAUGUCCUCCGGGAUGAUGGGGACACUGUUGGGACCGCCUCUGCUAAAGAGGAGGAAGGAAUGGGCAACGGUAGGUCAGCAUGCCCCGAAUUAUCCGGGCUACACGCGGGCUACAAUGGUCAGGACAAUGGGUAUCGACACCGAGAGGUGGAGGCAAUCUCCUAAACCUGUCCUUAGUUCGGAUUGUGGGCUGCAACUCGCCCACAUGAAGCUGGAAUCCGUAGUAAUCGCGUUUCAAAAUAGCGCGGUGAAUAUGUCCCUGCUCCUU
rnacentral:rRNA from 1 species